ensembl:lncRNA
GGAAACAAAUGAGAGCUGAGACGGAGCUGGUGGUAGACAAGGCAGGGAACAGCAGGAAUCCAGGGAUCGUGUAUCUGAAGGAAAGGAGGGCACUGUACCUGGAUCCAUUCAGGGCAACAGAGGAACAGAUCAAGAAGUGCAAAGAUGUAACAAGAGCACUGGUCCGCACAGUGUGUCCUGCAGUAACAAAGUGGAUGUGUGCAACACUGCCCCAUCCAAAACAGCAGGACUCGACAUCAUGUGGUGUAUUCGUGUGCAAGCUUGCAGAACAAAUUCUACAGAAAAGGAGAUACAGUAUCCUGUAGACCAGGAGGGCGUGGCCAGGCUAAGGCUCGACAUAGCAAUAUCAUUGCUGAAAGAUUCAGGUAAACCUGAGGAGAUUGAGUGCACCACCUGUGGGAGGUGGUACCAUAUGUCUUGUGUGGGGCAUCCACCUACAGAUGGGGACUACCACUGCAAUAGCUGCCAAUAAAUAUGUUAAAUCAAAAGGAAAUGCUGUCUUUUC